GCAUCUUCUUUAAUGUAAUCUGGUGCCACGUUUUGUUUGCAAAUGUGCUUGAUUCUUGUGCUUGUUGUGUUUGGAAAUGUCUGACCAAACCUUAACAAUUCAGGCUUUUGGUGUGGAUGCUAUUUUUAUGUUAGGAAAUGGUUAUAUCUAUCUUCUUUGAAGUUGCCUGUGCUUCAUAUCAAAUUUGAUACUUGAACACUAUAAAGAUAAUAUGCAAG
rnacentral:lncRNA from 1 species